UACGAAGGGGGCUAGCGUUGCUCGGAAUCACUGGGCGUAAAGCGCACGUAGGCGGACUCUUAAGUCGGUGGUGAAAUCCUGGAGCUCAACUCCAGAACUGCCUUCGAUACUGGGAGUCUCGAGUUCGGGAGGGGAUGGUGGAAUUCCCAGUGUAGCGGUGAAAUGCGUAGAUAUUGGGAAGAACACCGGUGGCGAAGGCGGCCAUCUGGACCGGAACUGACGCUGAGGCGCGAAAGCCAGGGGAGCGAAUGGG
rnacentral:rRNA from 1 species